GACGAACGCUGGCGGCGUGCUUAACACAUGCAAGUCGAACGGAAAGGCCCUGCUUUUGUGGGGUGCUCGAGUGGCGAACGGGUGAGUAACACGUGAGUAACCUGCCCUUGACUUUGGGAUAACUUCAGGAAACUGGGGCUAAUACCGGAUAGGAGCUCCUGCUGCAUGGUGGGGGUUGGAAAGUUUCGGCGGUUGGGGUUGGACUCGCGGCUUAUCAGCUUGUUGGUGGGGUAGUGGCUUACCAAGGCUUUGACGGGUAGCCGGCCUGAGAGGGUGACCGGCCACAUUGAGACUGAGAUACGGCCCAGACUCCUACGGGAGGCAGCAGUGGGGAAUAUUGCACAAUGGGCGGAAGCCUGAUGCAGCAACGCCGCGUGCGGGAUGACGGCCUUCGGGUUGUAAACCGCUUUCGCCUGUGACGAAGCGUGAGUGACGGUAAUGGGUAAAGAAGCACCGGCUAACUACGUG
rnacentral:rRNA from 1 species